rnacentral:tRNA from 1 species
GCCGAUGUAGCUUAGUGGUAAAGCAAUGGUUUCGUAAACCAUGGACGGCAGUUCGAUUCUGCCCUUCGGCUCCA